UUGAAGAUAUUAAAGUGGCAUUGACCAAAGCCCUAGUGCUGGCCAGUCCCAACUUUGAAAAAAAGCGGCACAUACAAGGGGGUAGCGACUAUUUAUUAAAAGCACAGGACUCUGCCAAGUGGUAACACGAUGUAUAGAGUCUGAAACCUGCCCGGUGCUGGAAGGUUGGAAGGAGAAGUGUGAUAAGCUUCGAAUGGAAGCCCCGGUAAAUGAAGACAGUAACUCUAACUGUCCUAAGGUAGAAAAAUUUCUUGUCGCAUAAGUAGCGACCUGCACGAAUGGUGUAACGACUGCCCCUCUGUCUCCGA
rnacentral:ncRNA from 1 species